rnacentral:lncRNA from 1 species
CUGAGUUGCAAUUACUUGUCUCCACUGUGAGACAAACCCCAGCCACAUCUCCAGCACACAAGAACUCCAAAUGCCCGAACCGCAGCUGCCAGGUGUUCCUCCGGAACCUCCUCCCCCAGGAGCUUGCUACAAGUGCCAGAAAUCUGGCCACUGGGCCAAGGAAUGCCCACAGCCCAGGAUUCCUCCUAAGCCACAUCCCAUCUGUGUAGGACCCCACUGAAAAUCAGACUGUUAAACUCACCUGGCAGCCACUCCCAGAGCCCCUGGAACUCCGGCCCAAGGCUCUCUGACUGACUCCUUCCCAGAUCUUCUCGGCUUAGCGGCUGAAGACUGACACUGCCCGAUCGCCUCAGAAGCCCCCUAGACCAUCACGGACGCCGAGCUUUGAGUAACUCUCACAGUGGAAAGUGCCCCUGGGGAGGGGAAGCAGAAAAGGGAGAGAUGAUGAAGAAGAAGAGGAGGCAGAGAAGGAGGUGGAGGAAAGAAGAGGGAAGACAAAGGAAACUGGAAGCUGAGGGGCAUUGGAAAAUUGUCACGCCUUGCAUGGCCAUAGAGGAUUUCUGAAUCUUACAAGGAGGAGGCCUUGGUAGAGCAAAGGGGAAAGGAUACAUGAAUGAUGACCCAACCGUGUGCAGUGGAAAGUCACUCCAUAUGCUUUUUGUUGAUUCCCUCUCGUUUAGUUAUACACUAAAUCCUCCAGCUUCUAUUGAAAAGUAAAGCUUUAUAAAGGCAUUCAAAAUGAAUUUCUUCGAGCUAGAUGUUUGUCGAUAUCAUACAAGAAGGGAGGAAAGAAUAAUGCUGCAAUAAACAUACGUGUGCAUGUGUCUUUAUAGCAGCAUGAUUUAUAGUCCUUUGGGUAUAUACCCAGUAAUGGG